AACGCGAAGAACCUUACCUGGGCUCGAAAUGUACAGGAAUCCGGUGGAAACAUCGGCGCCCAGCAAUGGGCCUGUAUAUAGGUGCUGCAUGGCUGUCGUCAGCUCGUGUCGUGAGAUGUUGGGUUAAGUCCCGCAACGAGCGCAACCCUUACCCCCAGUUGCCAUCAUUAAGUUGGGCACUCUGGUGGAACCGCCUCGGAUAACGGGGAGGAAGGUGGGGAUGACGUCAAGUCCUCAUGGCCUUUAUGUCCAGGGCUACACACGUGCUACAAUGGCCGGUACAAACCGUCGCAAAGCCGCGAGGUGGAGCUAAUCGGAAAAAGCCGGCCUCAGUUCGGAUCGCAGUCUGCAACUCGACUGCGUGAAGCUGGAAUCGCUAGUAAUCGUGGAUCAGAAUGCCACGGUGAAUACGUUCCCGGGCCUUGUACACACCGUAGAGAC
rnacentral:rRNA from 1 species